rnacentral:ncRNA from 1 species
UAAUAGACAAGUCAUGUCGGCGCCUUUACAAGGAUUAAAAGGAAAGGCGGUGUAAAUCCGCCGCGGUCCCGCCGCUGUAACCGGGGACAAUGGGCCCAAAUCCAUGCCACUGCUUUAUUCUGCAAGGCGGGAAGGCCGGGCUCAAGGGGUGAUCCGGAAGCCAGAAGACCUGCCGUCAGUAAAGAAAACCA